CCUACGGGAGGCAGCAGUGAGGAAUAUUGGUCAAUGGCCGUAAGGCUGAACCAGCCAAGUCGCGUGAAGGAAGAAGGAUCUAUGGUUUGUAAACUUCUUUUAUAGGGGAAUAAAGGUAUCCACGUGUGGAUAUUUGCAUGUACCCGAAGAAUAAGCAUCGGCUAACUCCGUGCCAGCAGCCGCGGUAAUACGGAGGAUGCGAGCGUUAUCCGGAUUUAUUGGGGUUAAAGGGUGCGUAGGCUGUUGUUUAAGUCAGCGGUGAAAGUUUGGGGCUGAACCAUAAAAUUGCCGUUGAAACUGGAAGACUUGAGUGUGUGAGAGGUAGGCGGAAUGCGUGGUGUAGCGGUGAAAUGCAUAGAUAUCACGCAGAACUCCGAUUGCGAAGGCAGCUUACUGGGCCGUAACUGACGCUGAGGCACGAAAGCGUGGGGAUCGAACAGGAUUAGAUACCCCUGUAGUC
rnacentral:rRNA from 1 species